rnacentral:rRNA from 1 species
CAGUCUAUAUACCGCCGUCGCCAGCUUACCUUGUGAAAGAAAUAGAGUAAGCCCAACAAUUCUACAUUAACACGACAGGUCGAGGUGUAACCACAUGGGUGGGACCAAGAUGGGCUACAUUUUCUAACUUAGAAAACACGAAUAGACUAUGAAACUAAAAACUGAAGGCGGAUUUAGCAGUAAGAUGGAAAUAAACACGCCCAACCGAAACUAAUGCAAUGAAGUGCGCACACACCGCCCGUCAUCCCUGUAAAACUACUCAAAACAUUAAUAAUACCCACCACCUUUAAAGCAGGGCAAGUCGUAACAUGGUAAGCGUACUGGAAAGUGCGCUUAGAGACAAAAAGUAGCUUACACCAAAGCAUUCGACCUACAAUCGAAAGACAUUCAACAAUCUUUUUGAGCUAAAAUAAUAACCACACAAAUAUCCUCAUAUAAUUAAACAAACCAUUUGAUUUUACCAAGUAGA